rnacentral:rRNA from 1 species
CCUACGGGAGGCAGCAGUGGGGAAUAUUGCUCAAUGGGGGAAACCCUGAAGCAGCCACGCCGCGUGAGGGAUGAAGGCUUUCGGAAUGUAAAACUCUUUUAGUAGGGAAGAAAAUGACGGUACCUGACUAAGAAGGCCCGGCUAACUCCGUGCCAGCAGCCGCGGUAAUACGUAAGGGGCCGGCGUUAUCCGGAUUUACUGGGUGUAAAGGGAGCGUAGGCGGUGUGGCAAGCGAGAUGGGAAAUCUCUGGGCUCAACCCCGGGACUGCAGUGGGAACUGGCGGGCUAGAGUGUGGGAGAGGCAGGCGGAAUGCGUGGUGUAGCGGUGAAAUGCGUAGAUAUGAGGAAGAACACCGAUUGCGAAGGCAGCUUGCUGAAGGAGGACUGACGUUGAGGCACGAAAGCGUGGGGAGCAAACAGGAUUAGAUACCCUUGUAGUC